CUGAAAAUGAUUACAAAUUCAGCCUAAACACUUACCAUAAACAACAAUUUUUUUCUUUCAAAAGUCAACUGAAAAAUCAAGAAGGAUGUAUUCCAGCUUCACCAAUCAAAGUACAGUUCUUCAUCAAAGUUCCUUUGUAGAUCCGAAUGAGGAUGUCUUGGCGAUCUGACGACCAUAAAAAUAGACUGUACUUGUCCACUUGCCUUCUCAUCUCUGACAGAGAGCUUCUCCUCCCACGAGAACGUCGGUAAAUAUUACCUUUGAGUCUCACAGCAACUGAACAAUCUGUCAGGAUCAAAACAAGAGAGAGGAACUUUAUGGAUUAAGCUCAGCUAUAAAAAAAAAGAAAGAAAACAGGACAGAGUGAGGCAGCAGGGACAUAUAAGAUACAUGUUUGACUCGAGGAAUAGGAUACAAAAUACAGAAGAAUUUUAUGGCAGGAAGCUUCAUUCGCAUACUCAUGUCACCAUGAGGACAUCACUGGAAGAUCUGCAUUCCUGAUGUACUUGACAGAGAUAAUGAGUUCGACAGUGUAUUGAGACACAAUGACAGCAGGAGUUCAGAAAAUUACACUGUUUAAAUGUAUGACACUAUAAGAACUGUGGAAAGAUCUACCUACGAGUACACAGUAUACUGUGAAAAGUUUGACCCUUGUAAAAAAAAAAUAAUAAAAAUAAAAAAAAACAUUAUUAUGAAAAACAACAGUUAACAACUCAAAUGCACAGUACUGUAUAUUUACAUGAACUGAAUAAUAUAGAAGCCAAGAACCUUACUGAAUAAAUAUGUCUGUAACAAUCA